GCCUUCGUGGUGUAGUGGUCAGCACACUCAGCGCAUAUUCAAGAGGUCCGGGUUCGAGUCCCGGCGAGGGCA